rnacentral:rRNA from 1 species
AAAACACCCCUACGGGAGGCAGCAGUAGGGAAUAUUGGGCAAUGGAUGGAAGUCUGACCCAGCCAUGCCGCGUGCCGGACGAAGGCCCUCAGGGUUGUAAACGGCUUUUAUUCGGGAAGAAGAGCAGGGAUGCGUCCUUGUGUGACGGUACCGAAUGAAUAAGCACCGGCUAACUCCGUGCCAGCAGCCGCGGUAAUACGGAGGGUGCGAGCGUUGUCCGGAUUUAUUGGGUUUAAAGGGUGCGUAGGUGGCUAAUUAAGUCAGUGGUGAAAUACGGUUGCUCAACAAUCGAGGUGCCAUUGAUACUGAUUAGCUUGAAAUAAUUGGAGGCUGCCGGAAU